UACAGAGGUGGCAAGCGUUGUUCGGAAUUACUGGGCGUAAAGGGCGAGUAGGCGGCCUUCUAAGUCAGACGUGAAAUCCCCCGGCUUAACCUGGGAACUGCGUCUGAUACUGGGAGGCUCGAGUAUGGGAGAGGGAUGUAGAAUUCCAGGUGUAGCGGUGAAAUGCGUAGAUAUCUGGAGGAAUACCGGUGGCGAAGGCGGCAUCCUGGACCAUUACUGACGCUGAAUCGCGGAAGCUAGGGGAGCAAACGGG
rnacentral:rRNA from 1 species